rnacentral:lncRNA from 1 species
UUUUUUUGGGGGGCAUAAUAGCCUAUAUACCCCUCAAAAUUUCAGAAAUAUCUAAUUUACCUCUUUUUUUUCUUUCCAAUAUACUCCUUAUAUGUUCCUCCGUUAUUCCAAAAUAUUCCUACAGUUAUCACCCGUUAAGUUAACUUGGGUUAAACGUGAGUUAAAUAUCUACCAUAGUUUAAAAAAAUUAAAAUAUCACUUUUGCCCUUAAUUUAAGGGCAAAUAAGAAAUAUUGGUGAUGGUAAAAAAGUAUAUUUGAAAAGACUAAAAAGUAAAAUACUUUUUGUGUCCCUAACUUAAGUGCAAAUAAAAAAAGUAGGUGCCAGUAGAAGAGUAUAUUUAAAAGGGCAAAAUUAUAAUUUCGUAAAGAUAACAGAGUUUAUUAAUAGAUUUUAACUCUAGAAGUAUAUUUGAAAUAUGUGGGAACGUAAAAAAAGUAUUUUCAAUAUUAGUUUUCUAAGAGGGGUAAAUGAGAAAGUCGGAAACUUUUCCAGGGAUAUAUGAACAAUUGCCUUUUUUUUUUUUGUUUGAUUCUAUAUUUUUAUGUAGGAGCAAUUAUUUAUAUACCCUUGAGAAGUUACAGGCUUUCUUACUUACUCCCUUUGGAAAGUUAAUAUAAAAAAAGGGGCAAUUGCUUAUUUACUUCUGAAAAAUUCCCGACUUUCCGAUUUAUCCCUCUUAGAAGGCUAAUAUUGAAAAUACUUUUUCUACGUUCCAACCUAUUUCUAAUAUACCCCUAGAGUUAAAAUCUGUUAAUUAACUCUAUUAUCUCUGUAAAAUUACUAUUUUGUUCUUUCAAAUAUAUCCUUCCAUCAUCACUGUCUUUCUUAUUUGCCCUUUUAGUAUUUUGACUUUUAGUAUUUUCCAAUAUACCCCUCUACCGUCACCAACCUUUCUUAUUUGCCUCUAAGUUAAGGACAAAUUUGGCAAUUUAAUUUUUUUUAACUGUGAUGGAUAUUUAACUCAAGUUUAAUCCAAAUUAACUUAACACGAGAUAACUGCGGGGGUAUUUUGCAAUAACGGUGAAACAUACGAGGGGUAUUUUAAAAAGAAAAAAAAGUAGGAAUAAAUCGGAUAUUUUCAAACGUACGAUGAGUAUAUGGGCAAUUAUUUCUUAAAAAAAACCCUUUUUAAAUUCUUUCAAAUAUACCCACUAAAUUAAAUUUUGUUAGUAAACUGUUAGGAACAGUCGUUCUUUCUGUGAAACUACUAUUUUAUCGUUUCAAAUAUAUAAUUUUCUAAUAUCACCAAUUUCUUCAUUUGUUCUUAAGUUAAGGGCAAAAUAAAUAUUUUAACUUUUUGCUGUUUCAAAUAUAUUAUUCUACCGUUGCUAAUUUUUCUUAUUUGUUCUUAAGUUAGGGGCAAAAUAAGUAUUUCGACUUCUUUUUAACUUCGGUAGAAAUUUAAUCUGAAUUUAAUCCUAGAUGAUUUAACGAGUACUAACAACAUAGUUAUUUUUGAAUAACGAAAAAAAUAUAUAAGGAGUAUAUUCGAAAGAAAAAAAAUAAGAAUAUAAAAAGUAUUUCAAAAAUUUU